GUGGGGUGACUGCGUACCUUUUGUAUAAUGGGUCAGCGACUUAUAUUCUGUAGCAAGGUUAACCGUAUAGGGGAGCCGAAGGGAAACCGAGUCUUAACUGGGCGUUAAGUUGCAGGGUAUAGACCCGAAACCCGGUGAUCUAGCCAUGGGCAGGUUGAAGGUUGGGUAACACUAACUGGAGGACCGAACCGACUAAUGUUGAAAAAUUAGCGGAUGACUUGUGGCUGGGGGUGAAAGGCCAAUCAAACCGGGAGAUAGCUGGUUCUCCCCGAAAGCUAUUUAGGUAGCGCCUCGUGAACUCAUCUUCGGGGGUAGAGCACUGUUUCGGCUAGGGGGUCAUCCCGACUUACCAACCCGAUGCAAACUGCGAAUACCGAAGAAUGUUAUCACGGGAGACACACGGCGGGUGCUAACGUCCGUCGUGAAGAGGGAAACAACCCAGACCGCCAGCUAAGGUCCCAAAGUCACAGUUAAGUGGGAAACGAUGUGGGAAGGCUCAGACAGCCAGGAUGUUGGCUUAGAAGCAGCCAUCAUUUAAAGAAAGCGUAAUAGCUCACUGGUCGAGUCGGCCUGCGCGGAAGAUGUAACGGGGCUAAACUGUGCACCGAAGCUGCGGCAGCGACGCUUAUGCGUUGUUGGGUAGGGGAGCGUUCUGUAAGCCUGCGAAGGUGUCCUGUGAGGGAUGCUGGAGGUAUCAGAAGUGCGAAUGCUGACAUAAGUAACGAUAAUGCGGGUGAAAAGCCCGCUCGCCGGAAGACCAAGGGUUCCUGUCCAACGUUAAUCGGGGCAGGGUGAGUCGACCCCUAAGGCGAGGCCGAAAGGCGUAGUCGAUGGGAAACGGGUUAAUAUUCCCGUACUUGGUGUUACUGCGAAGGGGGGACGGAGAAGGCUAUGUUGGCCGGGCGACGGUUGUCCCGGUUUAAGCGUGUAGGCUGGUUUUCCAGGCAAAUCCGGAAAAUCAAG
rnacentral:rRNA from 2 species